GUGGGGAAUAUUGCACAAUGGGCGAAAGCCUGAUGCAGCGACGCCGCGUGAGCGAUGAAGUAUUUCGGUACGUAAAGCUCUAUCAGCAGGGAAGAUAAUGACGGUACCUGACUAAGAAGCACCGGCUAAAUACGUGCCAGCAGCAGCCGUAAUUCGUAUGGUGCCAGCGUUAUCCGGAUUUCCUGGGUGUCAAGGGAGCGUCGGCGGAGAGGUAAGUGGAAUACCUAGUGUAGCGGUGAAAUGAUUAGAUAUUAGGAGGAACACCAGUGGCGAAGGAGGCAUACUGGACGAUAACUGACGCUGAGGAUCGAAAGCGUGGGGAGCAAACAGGAUAAGAUACCCGUGAAGUCC
rnacentral:rRNA from 1 species